CAGCUCUUCCUGGAGUCAGUGAUUCCAAGGUCAGGUGGUGCUUGUGGGUUUCCAGCCUGCCCCAGUUUUUCCUUGCCACCUGCCUGCCUAUGGACUGAAAACUUCAGCUCAUGCUCCUGAGGUCCAGCCUCUUGUGUUCUCCCUUCCCGGCUGCCUGUCCUGUGAGCCUCAGGUUUCUUAGCCAGUGCCCAUACAGUAAUUCACUAUCCUGCGUCAAACGCCUGGAAGUGCUGGCAUGGAGUGAGGACAGGACAUCUGCUCCCUGGGGCUGGGCACAUGCCAUCAGACUGAAAGGAGGCCCACCGAGAAUGGUGUCAGAUUAUAGCCUGGAUGAUGCCUCUCCAGAUAAGGGACAGGAAGAUCUUUCUCUGGAGAAACUGAAACACCAACUGGGGAUCCCCAACAAAAAUAGGUCCAACUUCUCCAUUGUCCUUCCACCAGUCUACAGCUCUGCCUGCCCUGAGAACUUCCAAUCAGCAUUUGGGUGCUUCACCCUCCAAUAGAGAGAGACACACAAGGAUCGUCAGAAGGUAAGGAGUGCUAGAAGGAAAAGGCUAAAUCAAGAGGAAAUAGCAAAUAAGGGGGUACCUGACUAAGCGUCGACUCUUGAUUUCGGCUCAGGUCAUGGUGUCUGGGUUGUGGGAUUGAGCCCUGCUUCAGGCUCUGUGCUGAGUGUGGAUCCUGCUUGAGAUUCUCACUCUCUCCCUCUCUGCCCCUCUCCCCUUCCCCUGCUCACACUCUCUCUCAUCCUCUCUCUUUAAAAAAAAAGAAAGAACAAAUAAGUAGAAAAGGGGGUG
rnacentral:lncRNA from 1 species